rnacentral:rRNA from 1 species
UUAAGCGACUAAGCGUACACGGUGGAUGCCCUGGCAGUCAGAGGCGAUGAAGGACGUGCUAAUCUGCGAAAAGCGUCGGUAAGGUGAUAUGAACCGUUAUAACCGGCGAUGUCCGAAUGGGGAAACCCAGUGCAAUUCGUUGCACUAUCGUUAACUGAAUACAUAGGUUAACGAGGCGAACCGGGGGAACUGAAACAUCUAAGUACCCCGAGGAAAAGAAAUCAACCGAGAUUCCCCCAGUAGCGGCGAGCGAACGGGGAGCAGCCCAGAGUCUGAAUCAGCUUGUGUGUUAGUGGAACGGUCUGGAAAGUCCGACGGUACAGGGUGAUAGUCCCGUACACCAAAAUGCACAGGYUGUGAACUCGAAGAGUAGGGCGGGACACGUGGUAUCCUGUCUGAAUAUGGGGGGACCAUCCUCCAAGGCUAAAUACUCCUGACUGACCGAUAGUGAACCAGUACCGUGAGGGAAAGGCGAAAAGAACCCCGGCGAGGGGAGUGAAAAAGAACCUGAAACCGUGUACGUACAAGCAGUGGGAGCACCUUCGGGUGUGACUGCGUACCUUUUGUAUAAUGGGUCAGCGACUUAUAUUCUGUAGCAAGGUUAACCGUAUAGGGGAGCCGCAGGGAAACCGAGUCUUAACUGGGCGUUAAGUUGCAGGGUAUAGACCCGAAACCCGGUGAUCUAGCCAUGGGCAGGUUGAAGGUUGGGUAACACUAACUGGAGGACCGAACCGACUAAUGUUGAAAAAUUAGCGGAUGACUUGUGGCUGGGGGUGAAAGGCCAAUCAAACCGGGAGAUAGCUGGUUCUCCCCGAAAGCUAUUUAGGUAGCGCCUCGUGAAYUCAUCUUCGGGGGUAGAGCACUGUUUCGGCUAGGGGGUCAUCCCGACUUACCAACCCGAUGCAAACUACGAAUACCGAAGAAUGUUAUCACGGGAGACACACGGCGGGUGCUAACGUCCGUCGUGAAGAGGGAAACAACCCAGACCGCCAGCUAAGGUCCCAAAGUCAUGGUUAAGUGGGAAACGAUGUGGGAAGGCACAGACAGCCAGGAUGUUGGCUUAGAAGCAGCCAUCAUUUAAAGAAAGCGUAAUAGCUCACUGGUCGAGUCGGCCUGCGCGGAAGAUGUAACGGGGCUAAACCAUGCACCGAAGCUGCGGCAGCGACACUAUGUGUUGUUGGGUAGGGGAGCGUUCUGUAAGCCUGCGAAGGUGWSCUGUGAGGSWUGCUGGAGGUAUCAGAAGUGCGAAUGCUGACAUAAGUAACGAUAAAGCGGGUGAAAAGCCCGCUCGCCGGAAGACCAAGGGUUCCUGUCCAACGUUAAUCGGGGCAGGGUGAGUCGACCCCUAAGGCGAGGCCGAAAGGCGUAGUCGAUGGGAAACAGGUUAAUAUUCCUGUACUUGGUGUUACUGCGAAGGGGGGACGGAGAAGGCUAUGUUAGCCGGGCGACGGUUGUCCCGGUUUAAGCAUGUAGGCUGGUUGUCCAGGCAAAUCCGGAUAAYCAAGGCUGAGGUGUGAUGACGAGGCACUACGGUGCUGAAGUAACAAAUGCCCUGCUUCCAGGAAAAGCCUCUAAGCAUCAGGUAACAUYAAAUCGUACCCCAAACCGACACAGGUGGUCAGGUAGAGAAUACCAAGGCGCUUGAGAGAACUCGGGUGAAGGAACUAGGCAAAAUGGUGCCGUAACUUCGGGAGAAGGCACGCUGGUGUGUAGGUGAAGYCCCUGCGGRUGGAGCUGAGACCAGUCGAAGAUACCAGCUGGCUGCAACUGUUUAUUAAAAACACAGCACUGUGCAAACACGAAAGUGGACGUAUACGGUGUGACGCCUGCCCGGUGCCGGAAGGUUAAUUGAUGGGGUUAUCCGUAAGGAGAAGCUCUUGAUCGAAGCCCCGGUAAACGGCGGCCGUAACUAUAACGGUCCUAAGGUAGCGAAAUUCCUUGUCGGGUAAGUUCCGACCUGCACGAAUGGCGUAAUGAUGGCCAGGCUGUCUCCACCCGAGACUCAGUGAAAUUGAACUCGCUGUGAAGAUGCAGUGUACCCGCGGCAAGACGGAAAGACCCCGUGAACCUUUACUAUAGCUUGACACUGAACAUUGAGCCUUGAUGUGUAGGAUAGGUGGGAGGCUUUGAAGCGUGGACGCCAGUCUGCGUGGAGCCAACCUUGAAAUACCACCCUUUAAUGUUUGAUGUUCUAACGUUGGCCCCUKACCGGGGUUGCGGACAGUGUCUGGUGGGUAGUUUGACUGGGGCGGUCUCCUCCCAAAGCGUAACGGAGGAGCACGAAGGUUAGCUA